rnacentral:lncRNA from 1 species
UUUUUCUUUCUUUUUCAUGAUUUUUUUUUAAGAAUUCAUUUUUUACUUGUCAAUUUUUUUUCUUUUCUUUCUUUUCUUUUGAUCAAAUUUCUCUUGUACCUCAACCCCAAACUUAUCUAUGGCUAACUUUCAAUAGAAAUCCCAAACUUUUUCUUUUGCAUCAGACAAGUAAAAUAAAUAUUUAUACUUAACUUCAGCGAGUGUGGAAAGAAUUAACAUUUCAAGUUAAAUGGUUAUAUAAUAAAUGCUAUGUCACUGAAAGAAUGGGUAAGGCUCAAACUGGUUAGCACACUACAACAAACAAGACCUUAGACAACGCUUUUUUUAGCCUUAGACAGCGCUUUAAAG